GCCCAAUAAAGAGGCAGGGGUGCUUUGUAGCUUCCAGAAGGAUUCCUAGGAGGAACUGACAAGUGGUGCUCUAAAGCCCAACCAACUCCAUUUUUUAAAGAAGAAGCUCCAGUUUGUACGAGGCCUGACUCCAAUUCCAGGAUGAAAGCCAUGAAGACCACUUGUGCGAACAUCAUACGGCAACUGCCCGGACUCCUGGACCCUACCCCUAGCAACGGCCAGUCAGGCUACACUGGCAGGGCCAAGGAAGCAGCUGGGGGUGGAGGUCGAGGGACAUUCUCUGGAACUUGUUAUUGAACAACAACAACAAAAAAGGCACAUGCCACAAAGAUCACUUCAAAUCAGCGCACCAGGUA
rnacentral:lncRNA from 1 species